UGUGAAGUGGAGCGAACCCCUAAAAGCCGUCCCAGUUCAGAUUGCAGUCUGCAACUCGACUGCAUGAAGUCGGAAUCGCUAGUAAUCGCGGAUCAGCAUGCCGCGGUGAAUACGUUCCCGGGCCUUGUACACACCGCCCGUCACACCAUGAGAGUCGGGAACACCCGAAGUCCGUAGCCUAACCGCAAGGGGGGCGCGGCCGAAGGUGGGUUCGAUAAUUGGGGUGAAGUCGUAACAAGGUAAC
rnacentral:rRNA from 1 species